UCAAAAUAUUUUUCCCUCUUUCUUCCCUCACCUUCCCUAUCUCCAAACCAACACAAUAUGAAACCCUAGAUCUAAUUUUUCCGCCGUCACCAUCUCUCUUUCCUUCCUUUUCCUUUUCCUUUCUCUCUUUUUUCCUUUCCAGUCCGGAUCAAUUAUGUGAAGCUUUACUUUUCCAUAAAUCUUUCUACCCCUUUCAUCAACCUCUGCUUCAUUGUUAUUUUCAUAACUCACUGUUUAUCACCUGCGAUUUUUGUUCAUCACAUGCGAUUUUCAUCUCCAGACAAAAGCUUGAAAACGGUAUGUUGAAUCCCUUAUAACUAUUGUGGUGGAUCUGGUUUCAACGACAACAUCGAAGAAGGUUGAAGUAUGGCAUACACGUUUCCUCAUAGUAAGAUUCUGAUGACGUUGAAUAAACUGCUGAAUGGAAGAAACAGAAACGCAUCAACAUUGCAACUCUCAUUUGAAAACCCAUCACCACCCACCUUUUCCUCAUCACGCUUGUUUAAUUUUCUAGGUGAUAAUGUUUUGGUAUUUGUGUAUAAACAAUGAGAACUACAAGUGAUUUUCAAGGUCAAGUUGGCUGCUGAUGCUAUAUUGCGAGAUGCGGGUGCUGGUUACGAGAUUCUGGUUGGCUAAAUUAUUAAAAUUCUCUGUAUAUGUUAAGUCUAUAAUGUCUCAAUUAUGGGUAAGGACUCUUUUAGCCAGCGUCCUUAAUACCUUUGAUUUGAAGGCUUUUUCUACACGGUCUAAUUCAUGUUGCACGAUAGCAGGUUAUUCUAAGAAAAUUACACCAGGUAGUCACCCCAUCAACCUAUUUAGAUGGUAAUAUUGGCCCUGACGCAACUCAUCUUCUUGCAAUUAAAGAGGUUUUCACUUAUCAAUAUCAUUGUUCUUUAGUUAAUUACUUUUGUGUGCUAUUUCAAGUAUUUGUAUUGUAUAGUGAUGCCAAAUGUUCAUACUUUGAAUUGUCAUCGGCAAAAAGAAUUGUAUAUUUUCUUCAGGAAAGCAAUGGCUCUGAUAAUUGUCAAUGUUACAAAUUUCUUUUGAUCUGUUUUCAGAAGUGACAAUGUCUUCGGUUUGGUUAUUUGAGUAAUUUUGUAGUUUUAUAGAAUUUUAGAUGUUUCUGUUUUGGAAUGUGUGCAUUGAUUUCUGUAAGGUUGGUAUUUUGUAUUGAAUCGGUGUUUAGAGAAAGUUUUGAAAACCAAACUGAAUCAGAUGGUUAAACGAGUUGAAAUGUGAAGUGACGAUGUCUAUGGUUUGGUUAUUUGAGCUAUUCUCUGGUUUUUGUGAUUAUCAGUAACAGGCAAACAAGUUGAUAAGGAGACAAUUGACAGAUUAAUUGAGACUGGAGAGAGUGAACAAAUUUUUCAGAAAGCAAUUCAGGAACAGGGACGAGGUCAGAUUGUGUUGUGCCUUUUAUAUGUGUGGACAGAAGGAAAGGCCCUGGAUACAAUUGGUCCAACAGUAAACCAAUUUUAUCCUUCUGAUAUAGUUCUGAAAUAUGUUAAAAUUGGAAUAUUGUGUGUGCAAGAAAAUGCUAUGAAUAGACCAUCAAUGUUAGAAGUUGCUGAUUCUUCAUCAAGUAAACAAGAUGAAUCUUGCAGUGUGAACCAAGUAACUGUCACAAUGGUAGAUGGCAGAUAUAUAGUGGAAGGCAGGAUCAAUGAAAUUCUCAAUACAUAUACUUGUGAUUUGUUUUUUACAUAGAAAAGAUUGAGAUAAAAUGUUUAUGUUUCAUUACUAAUCUAUAAGGUCGCCUAGAUACUAAGCAGGUGAUGUAAAAUAAACAUUAGUAUUUUAAAAUGAUUUACCUCAAUGGUAUUAAUGUUAGCACAACGAUUUGAUUAUCAUAUUUAAACACCUUGUAUUGUUUGUAGACAACAAAGUUUACCUUUUUCUUAUGGUUCAUAAUAGAAGUCCAUGACCAAUUAAGGUGAACAACAUUAAGAAAAAACCUGGAACUAGAACCAAGAAACAAUGUGUGCCAAGACCUCUUGUAUAUAUUGUACUAUAAAAUUCUGAUAUAGUAUGGGAAGUGAUAAUUUCAUAGAUUUACUUAAGCAAGAUAGUGAGAAUGGGAAGUAAUCAAUUUAUACUUUCAUAUAUGCAGUAUGAGUAAGGGUGGCAAUAAAAUUAGACAAUUUCUUGGUAUUUUUUGUUUCUCACAAUAUUUUUUGUUUCUCAUAUAUAUAUAUAUAUAUAUAUAUAUAUAUAUAUAUAUAGUACAUGGGAAGUGUUAAGUUGAUGUUGUUGAUUGUUGUCAGAAUGAGAAGAAUAGAUACAAUGUUUUGGUGAGGGUUUAAACAAAAGACAAUCCUCAUGCAACUACUGCAUUUGCUUACAUGAAUAAAUAAAAGAAGUCCCUCGCCAGUUCCUUUAAAAAUAGUUUUUGUGUUUAUAAGGCCAACACAAACACUAAAUUUCAAUUUCAAGUUUUAUGCGUAUGG